UACAGAGGGGGGCAAGCGUUGUUCGGAAUUACUGGGCGUAAAGGGCGCGUAGGCGGCCUUCUAAGUCGAACGUGAAAUCCCUGGGCUCAACCCAGGAACUGCGUCCGAUACUGGAAGGCUUGAAUCCGGGAGAGGGAUGCGGAAUUCCAGGUGUAGCGGUGAAAUGCGUAGAUAUCUGGAGGAACACCGGUGGCGAAGGCGGCAUCCUGGACCGGUAUUGACGCUGAGGCGCGAAAGCGUGGGGAGCAAACAGG
rnacentral:rRNA from 1 species